UACAGAGGUCCCAAGCGUUGUUCGGAUUCACUGGGCGUAAAGGGUGCGUAGGUGGUGAGGUAAGUCGGAUGUGAAAGCUCCGAGCUCAACUCGGUAAUGGCAUUGGAAACUACCUUGCUAGAGGGUUUGAGGGGGGACUGGAAUACUUGGUGUAGCAGUGAAAUGCGUAGAUAUCAAGUGGAACACCAGUGGCGAAGGCGAGUCCCUGGAAAACUCCUGACACUGAGGCACGAAAGCUAGGGGAGCAAACAGG
rnacentral:rRNA from 1 species